AGAGUUUGAUCAUGGCUCAGGAUGAACGCUAGCUACAGGCUUAACACAUGCAAGUCGAACGGAGUAGCAAUACUCAGUGGCAAACGGGUGAGUAACACGUAUCCAACCUAACCUCUACUCGGGUAUAGCCUUUCGAAAGGAAGAGUAAUCCCUGAUGUUAUAUGUGAUUCACAUGCAUUGCAUAUCAAAGAUUUAUCGGUAGAGGGUGGGGAUGCGUUCCAUUAGAUAGUCGGCGGGGUACCGGCCCACCGAGUCGAUGAUGGAUAGGGGUUCUGAGAGGAAGGUCCCCCACAUUGGAACUGCGACACGGUCCAAACUCCUACGGGAGGCAGCAGUGAGGAAUAUUGGUCAAUGGCCGAAAGGCUGAACCAGCCAAGUAGCGUGAAGGAUGACGGCCCUAUGGGUUGUAAACUUCUUUUUUAUGGGAAUAACGGUAUCCACGUGUGGUUGCCUGCAUGUACCAUAAGAAUAAGGAUCGGCUAACUCCGUGCCAGCAGCCGCGGUAAUACGGAGGAUCCGAGCGUUAUCCGGAUUUAUUGGGUUUAAAGGGAGCGUAGGCGGGAUACCAAGUCAGCUGUGAAAUGUAGAUGCUCAACAUCUGCACUGCAGUUGAAACUGGUGUUCUUGAGUGCGUAAGAGGUAGGCGGAAUUCGUCGUGUAGCGGUGAAAUGCAUAGAUAUGACGAAGAACUCCGAUUGCGAAGGCAGCUUACUGGGCCGCAACUGACGCUGAAGCUCGAAGGUGCGGGUAUCAAACAGGAUUAGAUACCCUGGUAGUCCGCACAGUAAACGAUGGAUACUCGCUGUCGGCGAUAUACAGUCGGUAGCCAAGCGAAAGCAUUAAGUAUCCCACCUGGGGAGUACGCCGGCAACGGUGAAACUCAAAUGAAUUGACGG
rnacentral:rRNA from 1 species